rnacentral:rRNA from 1 species
GUGAUGGCGACCGGCGCACGGGUGAGUAACGCGUAUCCAACCUUCCCAUGACUGGGGAAUAGCCUUGCGAAAGUAAGACUAAUACCCCAUGGUUUCCGAGGCGGACAUCCAAUUUGGAAUAAAGAUUCAUCGGUCAUGGAUGGGGAUGCGUCUGAUUAGCUUGUUGGCGGGGUAACGGCCCACCAAGGCGACGAUCAGUAGGGGUUCUGAGAGGAAGGUCCCCCACAUUGGAACUGAGACACGGUCCAAACUCCUACGGGAGGCAGCAGUGAGGAAUAUUGGUCAAUGGACGAGAGUCUGAACCAGCCAAGUAGCGUGCAGGAUGACGGCCCUAUGGGUUGUAAACUGCUUUUAUACGGGAAUAAAGUGGCUCACGUGUGGGUUUUUGUAUGUACCGUAUGAAUAAGGACCGGCUAAUUCCGUGCCAGCAGCCGCGGUAAUACGGAAGGUCCGGGCGUUAUCCGGAUUUAUUGGGUUUAAAGGGAGCGUAGGCCGCCGAUUAAGCGUGUUGUGAAAUGCCGCAGCUCAACUGUGGCACUGCAGCGCGAACUGGUUGGCUUGAGUGCGCGGAAGGCAGGCGGAAUUUGUGGUGUAGCGGUGAAAUGCUUAGAUAUCACGAAGAACCCCGAUUGCGGAGGCAGCUUGCCGCAGCGUAACUGACGCUGAAGCUCGAAAGUGCGGGUAUCGAACAGGAUUAGAUA